CGGAAGGGGCGGUGCAACGAUGGCGGAGCCGGUGCAGGAGGAGCUCUCAGCCCUGGCCGCGAUUUUCUGCGGGCCCGACGAGUGGGAAGUGCUGAGUCGCUCAGAGACAGAUGGGACUGUGUUCAGAAUUCUCGCAAAAGCCGAAGGAUUUAUGGAUGCGGAUAUACCCUUACAAUUGGUGUUCCAUUUACCGGUCAAUUACCCAUCGUGUCUACCUGGUGUCGUGGUUAACUCCGAACACCUGACCAGGGCCCAGUGCCUGACUGUGAAAGAGAAGUUACUCGAGCAAGCAGAGAGCCUUUUGUCGGAACCUAUGGUUCAUGAACUAGUCCUCUGGAUUCAACAAAAUCUCAGGCACGUCCUUAAGCAACCCGAAACUGGAAGUGGCAGCGAAAAGUGUACUUCCACAGUCAGCACGACUGCGGAUGAUGGAUUGUGGAUAACUCUUUUGCAUUUAGAUCACAUGAGAGCAAAGACUAAAUAUGUCAAGACUGUGGAGAAGUGGGCUUCCGAUUUAAGGCUGACAGGAAGACUGAUGUUCAUGGGUAAACUAAUACUGAUUUUACUGCAAGGAGACAGAAACAACAUCAAGGUGCCAACAGUUUAAUGUUGAAUAUGAAUUUGGCCAUUUUCUGCUGACGUGGUGUGUCUAAUGUAUAAAUGUGUUUUAUAACAGUGAGACCGAUUAAUCAUUAAGAUGUUUUUGCUUUCACUCUUAACAUGUUAAUGGAUCGUUAUUUUUCUACUUAAAGAAUAUCUUUAACUUCUACUUAAAACUACAGACUUGCAAAGAAUACGUAGAAGAUUAUGUUUUAAAAGUCAUGCCGCUUACUGAGAGUGAUAGGUUAUUAAAAAAAAUCUCUGCAGUGCAUGAGUGUUUGUUUCUGUAAUUAGCGUUGAGCCUAAACUUUAUAUAAAUUUGCCCUAAAAGUUUGGGCAUAUUUUGUUUCUUUUCUUAAGCACAGCAAAGUGUGUAUUUGUGAGUAGUCUGCAAAAAUCUUAACUUUUUGGCAUUUAAAGAUUCGUUCUGACACUUGAAUUGGUGUGUGCAGUACCUGGAAAGAGGAGCUGGUCCCUGCUAACCAGGAUUCAGCGUGAGUGGAAGGAGAGUCGUUAGCGCUGUCAGCUUGUCACCUCCUCCCUAACUUUCGCUUUCCACCUGACUUGUCUCAGCAGCUGCUUUCAAAGUCAUCAUCUUCCUCCCGUGUUUCAAGUUCUCAUUCUAAACUCAACUAACCUGUGUGGGACCAGACAAGACAAGCUGCUUAUUGCAUUUUAAAUCUUAAAAGAGCUACAAAUAACCCAAUAGGUUUUUAUGCUUCCAGGUGGGGUGGGUCAGCAAUAAUUACAGUGGAAUUUAUUUAAAACAGAUUUAUGGAUUUAUCUUGCACAACCUAUCAUUUUACAGAUUUGUAGGGUAACUACCUAGCUUUUUCACGAUGGGCUCUCAUCACAAAACUUGCUGGUAAGUAGCUUCAGCUAACCAGAGUAGUGCUAGGUUAUAGCAUACAGGCACAACAAGUAAUUCAGAUUUAUAUAGAUCCUGGGCUGGGGUCUGGCCAAGGAGCCACAUAUUUUAAGGUGAUUUAUAGUAUAUGUACAAAACUUGAUCCUUUUGGGUAAAAUACUGGCUGGCAAAAUGAAUACAAAUUAAUUUCCUUGCUCAUAUUUCCCCAAAAGCCUCGGCUUUUUCUUUAAGCCAGCUCAGGCGCAUCAGGCUCAGGGCGGCUGAUUUUCAGAUGUUGUUGCUCAGAUUGGAUCCAUCAAUUAAUUACCAUGCAUUUAAUCGUAUGGCUGGAGCUCUGCUACUGCAGAGUACUUUUUAAAGAGUUCUUUCUUUUUUAUUAGCUGUCCCUGAAAUGUCGUUUAACGUAAAUAUCUCUUCAGUUUUUAUGGUUGUGUAUCAGGAGAAUUAGUUACAUAUUUAUAGACGGCAUCAAUUUGGGGCGUUAGGUGCUGUGCACCUCUUAACUUCAUUCAGGCCUUGAAGUGGUAACAGUAAUGACAGCCGCUGGCGCUGUGUUAAGCACUGUGUGCCAGGCGCCCCUCUCAGUGCUUUUAAGUGUAUUAACCCAUUUAAUCCUCACAGCUGCCCCGUAAGGUAGGUGUUGUUAUGAGCACCAUUUUGUGGAGUAGGUUACUGAGGCACAGAGGGUUGUUGUCACGAGUGCCAGGAUCAGACCUAGCAGGCUGCCCAGUCUAGAUUUAAGCCUAUGUAGUUCAUUUACAUCCUCCUCUUACUUCAGCACUCGCCAGUACGUUAUGCAUCCAAGGAUGUAAAGACACUGUGACUCUCGCUGCUUGGUUCGGAAAGCGAGAGUACCUGAUUCUUCAGAAAACCUCCAAAGUAGAUGUGGACUCAAGUGGAAAGAAAUGCAAAGAGAAAAUGAUUAGUGUACUAUUUGAAACAAAAGUACAGACAGAAC